GACGAACGCUGGCGGCGUGCUUAACACAUGCAAGUCUACGAGAACGAGGUAGCAAUAUCUUUAGUAAAGUGGCGUACGGGUGCGUAACACGUAAGUAAUCUACCUUUGGGUUCGGAAUAACUUCGGGAAAUCGGAGCUAAUACCGGAUAAUGCAGCGGCACCGCAUGGUGAUGUUGUUAAAGUUUGUGUAAUGCCUAAAGAUGAACUUGCGUCUGAUUAGCUAGUUGGUGAGGUAAUGGCUCACCAAGGCUGCGAUCAGUAGCUGGUCUGAGAGGAUGAUCAGCCACACUGGAACUGAGACACGGUCCAGACUCCUACGGGAGGCAGCAGUGAGGAAUAUUGGGCAAUGCCCGAAAGGGUGACCCAGCAACGCCGCGUGGAGGAUGAAGGUCGUAAGAUUGUAAACUCCUGUUAGAGGGGAAGAAUAACUAAGUUUGGAGCUUAGUAUGACUGUACCCUCAGAGAAAGCCCCGGCUAACUACGUGC
rnacentral:rRNA from 2 species